rnacentral:rRNA from 1 species
UGGGGAGUACGACCGCAAGGUUGAAACUCAAAGGAAUUGACGGGGGCCCGCACAAGCGGUGGAGCAUGUGGUUUAAUUCGAAGCAACGCGAAGAACCUUACCAGGUCUUGACAUACUCGUGCUAUCCUUAGAGAUAAGGAGUUCCUUCGGGACACGGGAUACAGGUGGUGCAUGGUUGUCGUCAGCUCGUGUCGUGAGAUGUUGGGUUAAGUCCCGCAACGAGCGCAACCCUUAUUACUAGUUGCCAUCAUUAAGUUGGGCACUCUAGUGAGACUGCCGGUGAUAAACCGGAGGAAGGUGGGGAUGACGUCAAAUCAUCAUGCCCCUUAUGACCUGGGCUACACACGUGCUACAAUGGAUGGUACAACGAGUCGCCAACCCGCGAGGGUGCGCUAAUCUCUUAAAACCAUUCUCAGUUCGGAUUGCAGGCUGCAACUCGCCUGCAUGAAGUCGGAAUCGCUAGUAAUCGCGGAUCAGCACGCCGCGGUGAAUACGUUCCCGGGCCUUGUACACACCGCCCGUCACACCACGGAAGUUGGGAGUACCCAAAGUAGGUUGCCUAACCGCAAGGAGGGCGCUUCCUAAGGUAAGACCGAUGACUGGGGUGAAGUCGUAACAAGGUAGCCGUAUCGGAAGGUGCGGCUGGAUCACCUCCUUU